CCGCGAACUCGGAACGGACGCCGCCGGAGCGGGCGGGCACGCCCGUCCCUCCGGCCCGCCGCCCCUCGGGACGCGGCCGCCACGCGCGGCCGCGGCCCGGCUGGCGGAGGACACAUCCCGGCGCGGCGCGCGCCAAGGAACGACCGUCGGAACAGGGCUCCGCCCCCGCCCGCGCGGCGGGGCGGCGCCUCGCUCUACAAUCGAAACUGUACGACUCUCGGCAACGGAUAUCUCGGCUCUCGCAUCGAUGAAGAACGUAGCGAAAUGCGAUACUUGGUGUGAAUUGCAGAAUCCCGCGAACCAUCGAGUCUUUGAACGCAAGUUGCGCCCGAGGCCAUCCGGCCGAGGGCACGCCUGCCUGCGUCACGCAUCGCGUCGCUCCGCGCCCCACGCGGGCGCCGGACGCGGAGACUGGCCCCCCGCGCGCGAGCGCGGCGGGCCGAAGAGCGGGCCGCCGACGGGGACGGGCACGGCGAGCGGUGGACGGAAGCGCGGACUCCGCGCACGCGAGCCGGACGCCGUGGCCCCCGGCCCCCAGCGGCACAGGGCCCUUCGGAACCCCACAGGGCGCGCGAGCCCCUCCCCCGGGACGGGCGAGCCGCCUCGCACCGCGACCCCAGGUCAGGCGGGGCCACCCGCUGAGUUUAAGCAUA
rnacentral:rRNA from 1 species